GACUUGACAACAUUACCCUCUGGGAUAUUCUUUUUUUCUCUCUACUUCCAAAAUUUACUGAUCCUCUUCAAUGUCCAUUCUAUCCUUUUAUACAUUACAGAUUCAGUGUAGUUAUCGUAGAAUAAACUAUUUUAUCUUAAAUGGCCUAGAUUUAAUUUCUUUCAAUUUUAUGUCUUUAAUCAGAGUUUUGAUAUUAUAACUCUAGAGAGAACACGCUGAAAAAAAGAUUUUAUCCAGUCUCAAUAUUUUUUAGAUAUAUUUCUUUGUUCUUCUCAAACGUGCCAAGGAACAGUGAUAAUGGGUAAUGUAUGAAGUCUACCAAGACCUCUCAAAAAAUAGAGAGGCCAUCUUGGAGACAGGAACUUAUUUCUGGCAUCUGUGAAGUCUCACCCCACCAUAUAAAGGCCACUUUUAGAAGCAGUGCUGGAAAGAUGCCUGAAUCCAAGUUUCUAGGCUUGUCCUCUUUAGAAGCAAGGUCCACGUGGGGUGUCAGGUGAUUUCAUAUAUGAUUGUUAAUCACCUCAACACAUUCUUAAGCAGAGUGCUUACCACUAUUCACAGAUGGGACUACUGAGACUCAGAUGAUAAAUGAUACAGCACCAUGUGUGACACAAAAAAAGAGGAAAUCAACUUGGCUUUUCUCUGUGUCAGGUCCCUAGACAUGAUUGAGUCUGUCUGAGGGAUACGUGUAUACACAAAAAGGCAGUGUUAGCUCUCAGUUCCACGCAUUUCUGAUUCAAAGCCUAUUUAUCUGUCACUAGCUUCAGGCUCUGCUGAAUGUUUUAGAAGAAACAACAGAUUCCUUGAGUAUCUAUGAAAAUACCAACUUUCUUCCUUUUCCCUCAAUAUUUGAUCUAGUACUCUGUGCACCUUGUUAGGUGACAGAGAGGUGAGAGCUACCUAGCUUCUUGCUUUCUGGAGGGCUCUGGUUAAACUUACAAGACUAUUUCCAGAAAUAUUGUUUCGACACUAUCCUUUGUUGAACUGUUGGUGUUUAAAUUGUGUCUUCCUUAGGCUUCAGAACACUGUGCAGUUGAAGUCCGAUUUUCAUGACAAUUUAAAGGCCAAACUACUUGCCUUUGUGUAGCAUUGCAAGCAGAAAUGAUCAUUCUUGAACCUUUUCUUCCUCCAAAUAAAUACGAUUUUUACAUUUCCUUGUAACAGUUGAUUUCUUAAAUCAUUUCUCUAUCUUAUUGGGACCCUCUCCAAUAUUUCAAAAUCUAUUUUGAAGUGUGAGCCCUCAAAUUGGUUACAAUCACUCGAGGACCUAAUCAAGACUGAGCAGUGAGGAAGGAUAAGUUACCAGCUCCAGCCUUUCUUAUCCUUGGUGAAUAUCUUCUAGUCUCAUGAUAAUUUUCUUAGUAGUGCCCAUGCUUGGUUAUUAGAAACCCUUGGGUGAUCAGUUAUUAUGACUCCUGGCAUUAUUUAGAAACAGAGGCUUUGCAGCUUUAUCUCUUUAAGCCCCAAAACACUUUACAAAACCUUUUGACUGUAACUCUUUACAAAAUUAAUUAAACACCGCUCUGCUUGCUUAAACAGAAUUAAUUUUAAACUAAACACAGUUUUCUCCCAGUGAUUACUUUCUCUCUGUUCUACAGCAAAGGUGAGCAGACACUGUGAGGACAGCCCCGUGCUGCCUGCCCUUGCCCCUGACUUCAAAAGGUGACAUUAUUAAGAGCUAUGGGAGGGUGUAGAUAUUCCACCUCACUGAUUAUAAGGGAAAACAAAAAAAAAACAACAACAAAAAUUCACUGCAAUGAUUACCUAUCUUCCAAAAAAGAACUAUUAAGAUAAGCCUCAUGUUGUCUCAGAGGCCUCCUACUCAGCAGAAAUCCAAAGCCCCAGGCCUUCAUAUCACCAUAAACCCACAUGUACCAUGCUGAUUUUAUCCAAUCUUCUCCUCCCAGUAUCUUUCAAGCCUUCUCUGCAAUAUUUGUCUCAGCUUCUUUCAGAAAAUCUUCCUUUAUUUCCAUUACCUUAAAAGAAUCUGGCUGUCUCCUGACAAAGGUUUUCCUCUGCAGUCCUUUCAAAGUGGUGGUUGGUUGGCUGUUCGUCCU
rnacentral:lncRNA from 10 species